AGCCUCUGGGUUCCUGCAGUUGUUUUCUGUUGGUCUCCCGGCUUCUGCCUCUUAUGUCUGUUCUCAUCUCAUUAACUGGAGUGAUCCUUGUAAAGAACACCAGUCUCUCCUCAGAACCCUCUGCUGGUUUCUCAUCUCAUUCAGCAUUAAGGUCAAAGUCCUGCAGAGAUCUCCACGGCCCAGCAAGGUCUUGCUUUGGUUCAUGUGUCUGACUCUAUCUCUACCACACUUGCUUCACUUCAGCCAACCAGACCCCUGCUGCCGCCCCACAUGCGAGGCCCACUCCUGCCUUGGGCGUGUGAGCUUGCUGUUCCUGAUCUCCAGGUGUGUUGGCCACCGCGACCCACACAGGGCACUAGUCAUCUCCUUCAGGCUUGGCUCCAGGGCACCGUCUUGCUAAAAUGCAGUAAAACAUAGAGUGAAUGUUGUUGCCAAGCAUCAUCGAUAGAAAGGCGGUCUUGUGAGAACUUUGGUUUGCCCUCAUCCACCUUACUCACUGGAUCUGGCACCAGGCAACUUUUGUUGUAUAAAAGUGAGAAUGAUCAUGAAAACUAAAUGCUUUGAAUUAAUUGAGGACAUUGAGGCAGCCACGACAGUGCGACUAAAGACACUGUGAAAGAGGACUCCAGAACUACAUCAGAAAGUGGCAACAACAAUGGAAUAAGUGUGCUUGAAGCAAGGGGAAAUAUCUUGAGGGAACUGUCAUGAGCUGAGAGUUUUCUUCUACCGUGCUCUCCUGCCACGAUGUUCUACCUCGCCACAGGCCCAAAACUAAUAAGGCUAUAUACUGAAACCUCCCAAACUCACAUGUACCCCUGUCUGACUCAGACAGCAAGAAGGAAGAAAGGCAGCCAAACUGAUGAUGAGCCAGCCGCUCUUCUGUUCAAGAUCCAAGCACCAACUCUGAUCUCCCACUGACUACCAGGCAGGAGUGAUUGCUCACUUCUAAUGAAAAAGAGAAGAGGUGCAAAGAUUUUCUGAGGUCAAACAUAACUGAUAAGCAAUAAAGACCAAGAAUCCAGAUAAGUCUGACACUUCCUGUUACUCAUGCAUAAUCAACAGUAGACUAGGAGAGGCUCAAAGGAUUGUGUGUCCCUGUGGGUCUCUCUUCACUCCUGGAUGGUAAAAGGGAGGCUCUUCAAUGUCCUACUGAAUCUAAGUGGGGCACAAGUAUUUGGGGGGAACUUAGAAGCAGCGAUUUCUUAGAAGUGGACAGAAAUGUGAAAAUUUUCCAGUUUGAUACCAUGUUUUACAGAUGACAGAACA